AAAAACAUUGUCUCAUGAAAUAAAUAUGAGAUAAUACCUGCCCAGUGACAAAUGUUCAACGGCCGCGGUAUCCUAACCGUGCAAAGGUAGCAUAAUCAUUUGCCUAUUAAUUGUAGGCUAGAAUGAAGGGGUUAACGAAAUAAUAACUGUCUCAAUUAAUCACCUAAAAAUUAUUCUCUACUUGAAGAAAAGUAGAUCGUCUCGAAGGACAAGAAGACCCUAUAGAGCUUUAUUUUACUUAUAGAAUUAUACUAUAAUAAAUAUUCGGUUGGGGCGACCCCGGGCUAAAUAAUCACCCGCUAUAUAAAAGAUAAAUAAAUCAAACAAAUGACCCUUAAAGAUCACAAGACCAAGCUACCUUAGGGAUAACAGGCUAAUCCUACUUAAGAGUCCUUAUCAACAGUAGGGUUUGGCACCUCGAUGUUGGCUUAGGGUAUCUAUAUGGCGCAAAAGUCAUAUGAAGAUGGUUUGUUCAACCAGUAAUAUCCCUACGUGAU
rnacentral:rRNA from 1 species